rnacentral:rRNA from 1 species
GAUGAACGCUGGCGGCGUGCUUAAUACAUGCAAGUCGAGCGAACGGACGAGAAGCUUGCUUCUCUGAUGUUAGCGGCGGACGGGUGAGUAACACGUGGAUAACCUACCUAUAAGACUGGGAUAACUUCGGGAAACCGGAGCUAAUACCGGAUAAUAUUUUGAACCGCAUGGUUCAAAAGUGAAAGACGGUCUUGCUGUCACUUAUAGAUGGAUCCGCGCUGCAUUAGCUAGUUGGUAAGGUAACGGCUUACCAAGGCAACGAUGCAUAGCCGACCUGAGAGGGGGAUCGGCCACACUGGAACUGAGACACGGUCCAGACUCCUACGGGAGGCAGCAGUAGGGAAUCUUCCGCAAUGGGCGAAAGCCUGACGGAGCAACGCCGCGUGAGUGAUGAAGGUCUUCGGAUCGUAAAACUCUGUUAUUAGGGAAGAACAGAUGUGUAAGUAACUGUGCACAUCUUGACGGUACCUAAUCAGAAAGCCACGGCUAACUACGUG